UGGGAUGUAGUUCAGUGGUAGAGUGCAUGUUUGUCAUGCACAAGGCCCUGAGUUUGAUCCCCAGCACUUCAA
rnacentral:tRNA from 1 species